UACGUAGGUGGCAAGCGUUGUCCGGAUUUACUGGGCGUAAAGAGCGCGCAGGCGGUCGUGCAAGUCGCGUGUGAAAGCCCCCGGCUCAACUGGGGAGGGUCACGCGAUACUGCUCGACUUGAAGGCAGGAGAGGGAAGUGGAAUUCCAGGUGUAGCGGUGAAAUGCGUAGAUAUCUGGAGGAACACCGGUGGCGAAGGCGGCAUCCUGGACCAAUUCUGACGCUGAGUGAGCGAAAGCCAGGGGAGCAAACGGG
rnacentral:rRNA from 1 species